AGGACAAACGCUGGCGGCGUACCUAAGACAUGCAAGUCGAACGGGGGAUGGACCCUUCGGGGACCAUCUCGAGUGGCGAACGGGUGAGUAACACGUAGGAACCUGACGUUUGGUGGGGGAUAACGCUGGGAAACCGGCGCUAAUACCGCAUGAGGUCCCCGGAAACGGGGAGCAAAGCAGCAAUGCGCCAGAUGAGGGGCCUGUGGCCGAUUAGCUAGUUGGUGAGGUAAAGGCCCACCAAGGCGACGAUCGGUAGCUGGUCUGAGAGGAUGGUCAGCCACACUGGGACUGAGACACGGCCCAGACUCCUACGGGAGGCAGCAGUUAGGAAAUUUUCGCAAUGGGGGAAACCCUGACGGAGUAACGCCGCGUGGAGGAUGACGGCUUUCGGGUUGUAAACUCCUUUUCUGUGGGAAGAGUAGAAGACGGUACCGCAGGAAGAAGCCUCGGCUAACUACGUGCCAGCAGCCGC
rnacentral:rRNA from 1 species